rnacentral:rRNA from 1 species
AUGGAGGGCCUCCUACAUUGGGACUUCUCACCCGGCCUUGCGGUCGCAGAUCAGGUGCGUAGACGGUUUGGAUCCUCUGUUCAUUUCCUCCCCGAUGGAUCUACCAAGGAAUUUUUCUUGGUUGUGUAUUUUUCGUCUGCCUCCUUCCCCUUAUCUGAAGAAUCUGUGGCCAUUGCCUUACAAUGUUGCAUCGGG